rnacentral:rRNA from 1 species
AGAGUUUGAUCCUGGCUCAGGACGAACGCUGGCGGCGCGCCUAACACAUGCAAGUCGAACGGAGCUUAGAGAGCUUGCUUUUUAAGCUUAGUGGCGAACGGGUGAGUAACGCGUGAGUAACCUGCCCUAGAGUGGGGGACAACAGUUGGAAACGACUGCUAAUACCGCAUAAGCCCACGGUACCGCAUGGUACUGAGGGAAAAGGAUUUAUUCGCUUUAGGAUGGACUCGCGUCCAAUUAGCUAGUUGGUGAGGUAACGGCCCACCAAGGCGACGAUUGGUAGCCGGACUGAGAGGUUGAACGGCCACAUUGGGACUGAGACACGGCCCAGACUCCUACGGGAGGCAGCAGUGGGGAAUAUUGCACAAUGGGGGAAACCCUGAUGCAGCGACGCCGCGUGGAGGAAGAAGGUCUUCGGAUUGUAAACUCCUGUUGUUGAGGAAGAUAAUGACGGUACUCAACAAGGAAGUGACGGCUAACUACGUGCCAGCAGCCGCGGUAAAACGUAGGUCACAAGCGUUGUCCGGAAUUACUGGGUGUAAAGGGAGCGCAGGCGGGAAGACAAGUUGGAAGUGAAAUCCAUGGGCUCAACCCAUGAACUGCUUUCAAAACUGUUUUUCUUGAGUAGUGCAGAGGUAGGCGGAAUUCCCGGUGUAGCGGUGGAAUGCGUAGAUAUCGGGAGGAACACCAGUGGCGAAGGCGGCCUACUGGGCACCAACUGACGCUGAGGCUCGAAAGUGUGGGUAGCAAACAGGAUUAGAUACCCUGGUAGUCCACACCGUAAACGAUGAUUACUAGGU